GUCUGUGUGACAUACAGGUAAUUGUUUCUAAGUUAGAUUAGAAAAAUGCGUGUUCGAUUCCCGCAACAGACA
rnacentral:tRNA from 1 species